GAUUCAAACAGGUGCAACGGAGGGUGAGCUACGCGGAUGAAGAGAUCUGUGUAUCCAGGGAUGGAGAAAGCCGUUCAUGGCCUUGUGAUGGCUACAGCCACACAGAGCUGCUGGUCCCCGUGUUUAGAAGAUGGUUAGCUGAAAAAGCCUUGCCAUUCAGGGUGCGCCGAUCAUACUGUCCCCACACCACCUUAUUUUAUUAUUCUGGCCCCGAGUUGAUUCGCGUGGACGCGCAUUGCACGUGCUGAAAACCUACUGUUGACUGAUCCAUCGGAGCUAACUGAGAGCACCUGCUGAGACGCCCGGCCUGUCCGCUCCUUGUGUGUGCCACGCCCCCCUAAUUACCCACGUGUGAUUACCUGAUCGUACCCGGUCGUGUCUUGUUUCCUGCUGCCUUGUUCCAUGUAUUU